rnacentral:rRNA from 1 species
GACGAACGCUGGCGGCGUGCUUAACACAUGCAAGUCGAACGGAAAGGCCCCUUUGGGGGUACUCGAGUGGCGAACGGGUGAGUAACACGUGAGUAACCUGCCCUUGACUUCGGGAUAACUUCAGGAAACUGGGGCUAAUACCGGAUAGGAAUCCUUGCUGCAUGGUGGGGGUUGGAAAGCUUCGGCGGUUUUGGAUGGACUCGCGGCUUAUCAGCUUGUUGGUGGGGUAGUGGCUUACCAAGGCUUUGACGGGUAGCCGGCCUGAGAGGGCGACCGGCCACAUUGGGACUGAGAUACGGCCCAGACUCCUACGGGAGGCAGCAGGGGGGAAGAUUGCACAAUGGGCGGAAGCCUGAUGCAGCAACGCCGCGGGCGGGAUGACGGCCUUCGGGUUGUAAACCGCUUUCAGCAGGGGCGAAGCUUGUGGUGACGGUACCUGCAGAAGAAGCACCGGCUAACUACGUG